CUAAUAACACUUGACACCUUCCUGCACCUAGCUUUUAGUUGGUGAAGGCAACUUUAUAUUUAAAAUUUAUAAAUAAUUUAAUAUACAAUAUGCCAACUAAAAUACAUUCUUACCGUUACAAGGGUUUAAAAAAAUAUAGGCAACAUCGGCUACGAAAUUCUUUCAACUGCCUCACUUAUACGUGGAAACCGAUGAGCCCACCGUGAAAAUCCUGAAAUCACAAUCUCAAGAAGAUCCAUUUCUGCUCUGACAGCAUCAGACACGCCCCGCUUAGAGAAAGCCAAACUUCUUGCAAUGAGCUGAGAAAGACGACCGAGUGAACUUAUAUCGAAAUUAGGAUGAUUCAGAAGAGCCUCCUCUGACGUGUAAUCAAAUAGCAGUGCACAAAUACUUGAAGCCAUCAUAAGAACAGAUGGGUCGUUAGCAUCCUCUGCCCAAUAUCCCAAGGCCAUCAGAAGAUUGACAACAGUUGAUUCAUCCAUUGAAAAUUGCACUUGCCCUUUCUUCAAAAGCAAAUUCAACAUUGUAUCACAUGCCAAGAAGAUGCAACUAUCAUCUUCAACUGUAUAGCAACUAGGCCCAAUCACUUUUACAAGGCAUUCAACAACAGCUUUAUAACACCCAGAAGAAAUUAAAGCUUUACAUCCUUCAAUCUUCAUUGUAAUUUGACAAAGCAUUGGAAGUAGAAAGCAUAUAGAGUAAAAAGGGCUUGAUUCAUCAUCUGCUUCAAUUGAUAACAUAUACCCCAAAAGUUCUGUGACUUUAUCUUUGAAAGCAUCUGGUGUUUCUGCAAGAUAACUCCCAACAACCCGUACAGAGGCAAGGAGGUCAUUUCCUUUAUUUUGACCAUGUUCCUUUGCAUCCUUUAGGUACUCUAGCACUACACUGAUUGUCUCAUUAAGCCCAUUGAUCACCUUUAUGAAAGUGUUUUCACCAAUGAGUUCCCCUUCAUUUCCAGUCAUAGCUGAAAUUAGUUUGAUUAUCCUCUCUACCAAGGAAAAGGCGACAGCCACAUUUUGUUGCUUUAAGAGAAUAGCUUCAGCAGUUGUUGAGGUAUUCUUGGAAGCUUCAUACUUCAAAUAGGCCAGCUCAUUGAGCAAAACAUCAACUUCAACUCUUGAUGACUCCAAGACAAGCAAUAGACACCUGUCAGCUGGCACGGGAUCUUGUAAAUCAGGUAAGCUUGACUGACCAAUCACCCAGCUUUCCCCCAAUAUGGACACUAUAGAUUCAGCCAAAAUAAGG
rnacentral:misc_RNA from 1 species